rnacentral:rRNA from 1 species
AUUGAACGCUGGCGGCAGGCCUAACACAUGCAAGUCGAACGAGUGGCAGACGGGUGAAUAAUGUCUGGGAAACUGCCUGAUGGAGGGGGAUAACUACUGGAAACGGUAGCUAAUACCGCAUACCAUCGGAGUGGCCCAGAUGGGAUUAGCUAGUCGGUGGGGGAAAGGCUCACCUAGGCGAAGAUCCCUAGCUGGUCUGAGAGGAUGACCAGCCACACUGGAAUUGAGACACGGUCAAGACCCCUAGGGGAGGCAGCAGUGGGGAAUAUUGCACAAUGGGCGCAAGCUUGAUGCAGCAAUGCGGCGGGGAUGAAGAAGGCCUUCGGGUUGUAAAGUACUUUCAGCGGGGAGUCGUUACCCGCAGAAGAAGCACCGGCUAACUACGUGCCAGCCGCCGCGGUAAUAC